GCCGCCGGCUACGCAAUGCUGUCUCUCUUGCUGAUCCUCUCAGGCCUGGGCCGGCUGACCUCCGCGGGCCCACAUUCUGAAACACCAGUUCUGCAAAUUACAGUACCACAGAAGAUCCAGACAAACACCAAUGAUGGUGAUGUUUCAGAAACGCAUGCCACUUAUUCCAUCAAAAUUGAGGGGAAACCAUACACUUCCUGCUUGAAAAACAGUCAUUUUUACACCCACAUUUCCUGGUGUAUUUAUACAACAAAUCAGGAACAUUGUAUGCAGAUUCUUCAUUUUCAAAGGGUCAUUGCUUUUACCAAGGAUAUGCUGCAGACAUUCCAAAAUCAGUUGUGGCACUACGCACCUGUUCUGGACUCAGAGGAUUACUGCAGUUAGAUAAUAUCAGUUAUGGUAUUGAACCAUUGGAAUCUUCACCUACAUAUAAGCAUGUAGUUUAUCGAAUUAAAAAUGAUGCUAUUGGUCAUUCCUCCUUUCAAGAAAAUUAUCCUGUGGCUCAAUAUAUAGAUCAGUCCUACAGGAUUCUUGUCAAAUCAGACAUAAAUUCAGGUGCCAUGCUAUCGAAAAGAACUCUGAAAAUACAAAUCAUUAUGGAUAAAGCCAUGUAUGCUUAUAUGGGCUCCACGGUGGCAGUUGCAGUUGAGAAAGUUUUCCAAAUCUUUGGUCUUAUCAACACUAUGUUUUCCCAGCUUAAUAUGACAGUUAUGCUGUCUUCCUUGGAGAUCUGGUCAGAUCAAAAUAAGAUUUCAACAAGUGGUCAUGCUGAUGAAAUACUACAGCGAUUUUUGCCUUGGAAACAAAAAUUUUUGUUUCAAAGGUCUCAUGAUAUGACAUACUUAUUAAUUUAUAGGAACCAUUCUACUUAUGUGGGAGCAACAUAUCACGGAAUGGCAUGCGAUCCAAAGUUUGCAACAGGAAUUGCUCUGUAUCCAAAGAAAAUCACUGCAGAGGCCUUUUCAGUUGUUAUGGCACAGUUGCUUGGAAUUAAUCUGGGAUUGACAUAUGAUGAUAUCUACAAUUGUUACUGUCCAGGAACUACAUGCAUAAUGAAUCCUGAUGCGAUAUGAUCCCAUGGUAUGAAGUUUUUUAGCAGUUGCAGCAUGGAUGGAUUUAAACGGAUAGUUCUGCAGCCUGAACUUAAAUGUUUUCAGGAUAAAACAGUUUCAAAAAUGACUUACCGAAAAUCUUCAACUUGUGGCAAUGGAAUUUUGGAACCUACAGAGCAGUGUGAUUGUGGCUAUAAAGAGGCAUGCACUCAUAAAAAAUGCUGUAAUCCUGCAGAUUGUACUCUAGUUAGAUCUGCAGAAUGUGGCACUGGAUCAUGCUGUAACAAUAAAACUUGUACGAUCCACGAAAGAGGCCAUGUCUGCAGAAAAAGUGUAGAUAUGUGUGAUUUUCCAGAAUAUUGCAAUGGAACAUCUGAGUUUUGUGUACCUGAUGUGAAAGCUGCUGAUUUAGAAUACUGCAGUAAUAAGACUAGCUAUUGCUUUAAAGGAGUAUGCAGAGAAAGGGAUAGACAGUGUUCACAGUUAUUUGGAAAAUUUGCUAAGUCUGCUAAUCUUCUGUGUACAGAAGAAGUGAAUUUUCAAAAUGACAAAUUUGGAAACUGUGGUUCCCGUUGUGAUUUUUUUGAUAUCCUUUGUGGAAAGAUUGUUUGUCACUGGAUACAUUCAGAACUAGUACCAAUGACAGACUUAGACAUACAAUAUACUUACCUUAGAGGUCACGUAUGUUUGUCCGCACAUGCAAGAAAUGGUUCAAAACAAUCGGAGACCUAUACAGAAGAUAUAACUGCAUGUGGCCAACACAAGGUAUGUCACUCCCGAGAAUGCAGAAAUUUUAGUGAACUAAAUAUAACAAAAUAUACUACAAAUUGUGGACAGAAUGGGAUUUGCAAUGAACAUUUCCAUUGUCAAUGUGAUCCUGGUUAUGCUCCUCCAGAUUGUGAGCCAGCAAUGUCAUCACCAGGAGGAAGUAUCAAUGAUGGAUUUUGGCUUACAGUAGAAAAAAGUGUACCCUUGCUUCCAAAACGACGUGCUGCUCCUAAAAACAAUGGUCUUUUGAUCAGUUUCUACAUUUUUUCACCUUUGCUCAUUUUAAUUGCUAUUGUUAGUCUUAAAUGGAAUAAAAUGAAGAGAUUUCGGAGCAAAGUGGGAACAGUAAGCAGCAGAUCUAUCUCAGAAGACAGCGGUAGUAACAGCAGCCAGUCACAGAGUUAAAGUAACCAAGUGAUAAAAUCAAAGCCAUCGGAUGAAGAAAGGAUAUUACCAAGAAACUCACCAUUAACUUAAAACUUUCAACUUCACAGAAAAAAAUAAAUCAUAUGACUAAAAGC
ensembl:lncRNA ADAM3A ADAM metallopeptidase domain 3A (pseudogene)